AGGACGAACGCUGGCGGCGUGCUUAACACAUGCAAGUCGAGCGGAAAGGCCCUUUCGGGGGUACUCGAGCGGCGAACGGGUGAGUAACACGUGAGUAACCUGCCCUUGGCUUUGGGAUAACCCCUCGGAAACGGGGGCUAAUACCGAAUAUUCACUGCUCCUCGCAUGGGGGGUGGUGGAAAGAUUUUUUGGCUGGGGAUGGGCUCGCGGCCUAUCAGCUUGUUGGUGGGGUGAUGGCCUACCAAGGCGACGACGGGUAGCCGGCCUGAGAGGGCGACCGGCCACACUGGGACUGAGACACGGCCCAGACUCCUACGGGAGGCAGCAGUGGGGAAUAUUGCACAAUGGGCGCAAGCCUGAUGCAGCGACGCCGCGUGAGGGAUGACGGCCUUCGGUUGUAAACCUCUUUCAGUAGGGACGAAGCGCAAGUGACGGUACCUGCAGAAGAAGCACCGGCUAACUACGCGCCAGCAGCCGC
rnacentral:rRNA from 1 species